UUUUUUCUCUGCAACAUCGUCAAUCAAACCAAAUUGAUAGAACAGGAUGAGAUAUGAAAUGUCUGUAUUAGAGAGGCAAAGGUAACAAAUAUCCUUGUUAGGAAGAAAAAAUCUAUUUCAGCUGGCGAGUCGGUUUCACAAGGCUUGGCAGAGAAUUUGCAGCAACUUGGAUUUGAGAAAGAGACCAUUGAUUUUUCCCUCUUGGAGACUCAACAUGAGGUCAGCUGGUUCAGUUUCGACCCAGAUUUUCAUAUUGAGGGAGAACAAAUGUGCUGCUACUUGACUCGCACGAUAGAAAAAUGCUCCACUAGGGAUACCCAAGAAAUAUUUUUUUCAACUCCGUAGAUGGAAUAGCAGAGAACCUACAUGUGGAACCACACACCCAAGUGGUCAAACUUACUCACGGGAAAUUCCUUGCAGAACUUUCUCUCAACAACAUAGCUGAGCUCCUUCCUCUUUAUUACAGUGCUAUUAGACAACAGCUUCAAUCGGGAAAAACAGAGACUGAUCUUGUGUUCCAUGAUUUGAACACAAAGAUCAUACUACACCAUCUAGAUGAACUUGCAACAGGUCUCACUCCCAAAGUGUUCAAAAUCCACAAUGCUUCCAUGACUUUGGAUGCAAAGUUGAGUGAAAAAAAUUAGAGAUGAUGGAAACUAUAAGUUGAAGAUGUGCAAUGUCUCUCAUCAAACAAGAUUAAGGUCUUCAACACAUCUCUUGUGGCUAAAUUUGCUUGGGCAAUGGAUGUAGAACAUAACUCGAGUUGGAUGCAGAACAUGAAUUCAAGUUCUGAUCAGUGGCUUAUGUCGUGUAUGUGAAAAAUAAUAUGUUAUGUAACAUUUAAACAAUUCAAGUUCUGAUCAGUGGCUUAUGUUGUGUUUGUGAAAAAAUAAUCUGUUAUGUAAUGUUCAACUUUGUCUUCUAAAACGUUAAGAAUGUUUACUUGUUCUUGAUA